rnacentral:rRNA from 1 species
CCUACGGGAGACAGCAGUGGGGAAUAUUGCACAAUGGGGGAAACCCUGAUGCAGCGACGCCGCGUGAGGGAAGAAGUAUUUCGGUACGUAAAGCUCUAUCAGCAGGGAAGAAAAUGACGGUACCUGACUAAGAAGCCCCGGCUAACUACGUGUCAGCAGCCGCGGUAAUACGUAGGGGGCAAGCGUUAGCCGGAUUUACUGGGGGUAAAGGGAGCGUAGACGGCAGCGCAAGUCUGGAGUGAAAUCCCAUGGCUUAACCAUGGAACUGCUUUGGAAACUGUGCAGCUAGAGUGCAGGAGAGGUAAGCGGAAUUCCUAGUGUAGCGGUGAAAUGCGUAGAUAUUAGGAGGAACACCAGUGGCGAAGGCGGCUUACUGGACUGUAACUGACGUUGAGGCUCGAAAGCGUGGGGAGCAAACAGGAUUAGAUACCCCGGUAGUC